GAUGAACGCUAGCUACAGGCUUAACACAUGCAAGUCGAGGGGCAGCACAGUGUAGCAAUACACGGGUGGCGACCGGCGCACGGGUGCGUAACGCGUAUCCAACCUUCCCGUUACUCAGGGAUAGCCUUCCGAAAGGGAGAUUAAUACCCUGAUGGUGUUGAAAUUCCGCAUGUUAUUCAACUAAAGAUUUAUCGGUAACGGAUAGGCUCGCGUGACAUUAGCUAGAUGGCGGGUAACGGCCCACCAUGGCGACGAUCAGUAGCCGGACUGAGAGGUUGAACGGCCACAUUGGGACUGAGACACGGCCCAGACUCCUAC
rnacentral:rRNA from 1 species